GAAAAUUUGAAAAGUCUCCUGGCUUUUGUACACAAUGGUGGGUCACAUCACAGCACAACAGCUUGAUGUGGGAGCAUUAACUGAUGGAGGCCUCAGAUGUUCUCCACUUUGGUGAAACCCACAAGCUCAGGGAAAAUAUGACUGUCAGGACAGGAAGA